rnacentral:snRNA from 1 species
GUGUUCACUUAGCAGCACAGAUAAUACAGCUGAAAAAAAUCAGAAAAAAUGACCAUGGCACCUUCUAAAGACGACACACAACUUCAUGAAGAAUUGUGUAUUUUC